rnacentral:rRNA from 1 species
GGAGGGUGCAAGCGUUAUCCGGAAUUAUUGGGGUUUAAAGGGGUGCGUAGGCGGGAUGAUAAGUCAGUGGUGAAAUCUUACAGCUUAACUGUAAAACUGCCAUUGAUACUAUCAUUCUUGAAUACAAUUGAAGUGGGCGGAAUGUGUCAUGUAGCGGUGAAAUGCUUAGAUAUGACACAGAACACCGAUUGCGAAGGCAGCUCACUAAGUUGUUAUUGACGCUGAGGCACGAAAGCGUGGGGAGCGAACAGGAUUAGAUACCCUGGUAGUCCACGCCGUAAACGAUGAUCACUCGGUAUUGGCGAUACACUGUCAGUGCCCAAGCGAAAGUUUUAAGUGAUCCACCUGGGAAGUACGUCGGCAACGAUG